AUCUGGGACUUCCCCAGGGGAAAAUAAGGAUUGGGUUCUAUGCACUGGCGCCCAUUUGUUCCAGGUACACCCCUCGUCAUCAUGUUAUAUCCUGUCUCAUUUGCAUGUUUGGAGAUGAUGCCUCCGGUUGCCAUGUAAACAAGAGCAACAAGAGAGAGCAUGUGGAGACAGGGGAGUCCGUUGGAAUAGAAGGGAAGAAAUGAUGGAGGCUGGGCAACAUGUUGGCGAAGGAGAAAAUGAGGGAAGGGGCUGAUUUAAGAGCAUCUGGGUGCUGGAAUCUGUAAGCAAGGGUUGGCAGGUAUAAAGGUAUAGAGGGUGGGGGUAUAAAGACGGCUCCCAGUUCUCUUGCCGAAGCAGCAAGGUAGAUGGAGCUGCCCUUUACCACAUGGAAGAGUGGAGCCAACACAUAUUUGGGCCUGAGGGGUGGGGAACCAAGGGUUCAGCUGUAGCUAUAUUAAGUUUGAGGUUCCUAGGAGCUAACAUAUGCUAAUCCCUUCCCUCUUAGCAACAGAACCCCACUGCCUGGCCUCUCCAGCAAGUGCUUUCGGUUGGGCCAUCACUUGCAUGGCCUCGCUCCCCUAAGCACACAGAAGGGCGUGCCUCAGGCUGGCCAAUUAGAGCACUCACCCCCUGGACACAGAGACCCGUCUACGGGUGAGCACCCACCCACUUGGAAGGACACUGAAGAAGAGAGGGUUGCCCUCUUCUCUGGGCUUGUGGGCUGUAGGGAAAUGUGCAGUCGGCACUGUCAGUGACAUCACUCAGCCAGAGGAAAGCCAAAUCAGGACAUGGAGAGAGACUGAGUUCUGGCAACAUAAUUUGAAUCCCUGGUGCAUCUGUGCCUAAAGCUAGAUCCUCUCUUUGAUCCAAUACAUGACCUCAUAAAAUCCUUUUCUCCUCUAGGAGAAUCCUUUAGCCUAUGACUGAAAGAGACACUCCAAUAAGACUAACACAGCAUCCAAAAGCUGUCAUGGGGGUCUUUUGGAGCAAAGACAGAUGCAAAAGUAGAGGAAGCUGGGUUCUAGGAGGCAUGGACAGAUGAGACAACGGCCGGAGAUGGACAUGGAAUCAGGGGACAUGUGGCAGAGACUCCCACAUGACUCCAACAUUCACUUGUGGGUUUUUCCCCGUUUUUACCUUCCAGGUAGGUGCGACCAUGUGGCUAAGUCUGGUUAAAGCGAUGAGUAUCUAAAGGGGGCCUGCAUCCAAGGAUGUGUGGGAUAACCAGCCUCGCUUCUUGCCUUAACUGGAACAACUUUGAAGCCCCGCCCCCAGCUCCAGAGCUCCUCAGGGAUUGGCUGGGUCCUCUCCUGGGACCAAAUCACAGCUCAGCUCUGCCCUUUACCCCGCCCUGCCUCAUCAUCUCCUCCCAGCAGGGUGCAUCCCUAACAGAACUGGUGGCUGCAAAUCUCCUUCUGAGUCCGUUUUCUGAGUGACAGCCUAUGAUAGUAGCUGUCUUUAGACUGUGCGAUAGAAGCAACGUGUGAAAAAAUAGUGAGGUAAAAUGAUACAAGAAACCUAAGUCCUCCAAAACAGCUAAACCCCUGUAUCAGCCCUGAACUGUCAAGUUACAUGAUAGAAAAACAAAAACAAAAAAACAAACAAAACCCUUCUAUUUUGUUUAAGCCAUUGGAGUUUGAGGUCUUUGUUACAGCAGUGUAAAGCAUAUUCCGAUUAACAUAGAAUUUGAUACCCAGAAGUGAAAGGUUGGAUGUGGCAAAAUUUUAAAUAUGAGGCAUUGUGCUAUUGUCAGACCGUGAGCAGAUAUUUCAGGUUGGAAAGCUCAUGACCCAUGUUAUGCAAAACAGUCGGUAACACCGUCUCCCCUGAUACCUUGGAAGAAGUUCCAUGCCCACGGAGCCUCUAGUUCUAGAGGAAGUGGUCAGAAGGUGCAAACACUGGUGGGUAUAGUCUUCUCCCUACAUUUAGCAAGGUCCUGGAAGAGAAAAACUCAGAAUAGAGACAGCAGUUUGCAAGCAGAGAUGAAAAAAAACAAAACAAAACAAAACAAAACAAAAAACAGAACUCUGUUUGUGGAAAUUCUUCCUGCCUGUGGCCAGUCUUGCAAAUUGACUGAGAAUCUAGUGUUUGGAGCCUCCCCAUGCUGAGAAGGCCAACUGCUUUUAUACCCCCAGCUGAGGAAGUGACGUGAAAGGGCCCUAAAAUCUCUGGGGACUUAUACUUUUUCCCCAAUUGUGGAUUGCGAAGAUGUAUUCAUAUUGUUCUACUUAGCUGUGGCUCAUUUAUUUAACCUGGUCUGUAACAGUCCACUGCAUGAAUAUCCCAGUUUAUUCACUCCCAAACCAUGGACUCUACACUGGGAAGGGAGAGAAGUGAAAGCAGGAGGGGGCUGUUGGACAAAGGAAGUGAAGGAAUAAAUGGACUAAAGAGUUCUAUGAGAUCAAAAAGCCAUUGCAAGAGCACCUGGGCCAGGGAGCAGAAAGACUUGGAGGUGAUAGAUGGAUGGAUAGCAGAAAGUAAGGAGUUGUUUUUUUUUUUUUUUUCAGAGCUGCACCUGCAGUAUAUGGAAGUUCCCUGGCUAGGGGUCAAAUUGGAGCUGCAACUGUCGGCCUAGACUCCAGCCAUGGCAACAGGAGAUCCAAGCCAUGUCUGAGACCUACACGGCAGCUCACAGUGAUGCCAGAUCCUUAACCCACUGAACAAGGCCAGGAAUCGAACCCUUAUCCUCAUGGAUACUGGUUGAGUUCUUAACCUUCUGAGCCACCGUGGGAACUCCUACUGAUUUUCAGAAGUAGUAAGGCUUUGGGUGAGUCUAAGGUCUUCAGGGAUAAGUGUGGAAAUGGACAGCUAAGGCGGGAAUUAUUAGAGAUGUAGGUGAUGGAAGCGAGAGGUCAGAGGGUGGGUACAGGUGGUUCUAUUGGUCUGGGAGAGCAGCGGGGGGCUGGGUAGAGGAGAAGACGAUGAGGCUGGAGCUGGGGUCCUCAGAGAGGGAGGGAGCAGGCCUGGGAGGCUGGGAGAUGACAGGGAUGAGGAGGGAGAAUGGCAUAACCGAAACAGGAGUGUCAGUGGUCCAGGCUUUACAUGAGGAUGAGAAUAAUGGGCAGGAAGUGACUAUGAGGAGUAAUAAGAACAAACUCUACCUUCCAGCCUUGAGGUGUGGAGACUGUGAGAAUCCAGUCUGUUGAGAAACCACUUCUGCUUGGGAUGGGACCUGGGGGGCUACAGGGAGGUGGUGGCUCAGGGUGAGAGGAGGUCGGGGGGACAUUCCAAGAGGCUGAAGAUAUAGGCAAGUGCACCGCCUGUGGUGCAGAAACUCCAGAGAGCCUUGUGCCAGGGUGGAGGGGAGGCUCCAGCAAGAGAGGUGAGGCGAGCAGGCUGCCAGGACUCUGCCAAGGCUGCGCGGGGGUGUGUGUCAUGGAUGGCCAACCUUGGCUCUCCUCACAGGCUAGGAGUGCAGCAUGCUCCUUGCUGUGGCAUGUGCGUGGAAGGGUCACCACUCAGCAUCUCGCUGUGUCACCAGCGCUUGGGGUUGGUGCACCUCCUGUGCGGGGAGCCUGGAAGUCAAUACUCUUCCCUUGAUCCCGUGCUGGUGUCAGGGGAAACCAGGGUAGAAAACUGCCCUAGAGAAGCCGGGCCGAGGUUCUUGCCUCCACCUCUGCGGGGGUCCAGGGAUGCAGUCUGGACACCUAAUGUCACCUUCCUUUGGCGUCAGUGGGGGCCUGUGGCUCCCAUGGCCUUGGGCUAGUCCAACUUGCUUCAGGGUAGAGACUCCAUGUAGGCUCUUAGGGAGGCCUCUGUGAGUUGGCAGGCGUUGGGGGAGGUUUGGAGGAAAAGAAGAGGUGAAGCCAGCCUCUUGGGGGCCAAGGACGGGUCUAAGAAAGAUGUGGGCCUGCACACCAUUGUUCUGAAACACCAUCAGUCCAGAGAGAAAGGAAGAGCCCUGCCCUGCCCAGCCUGGGUCUCUGUGGUCCAAGGUAUUUUCCACCUGGGAUUCACUCGAUUAUCCUUCUUCAACUAUGCAAACUUGGGAUGACGGUCUGGGUGCAUUAGACACAAAGUCUGAUUAUUUUCUCUGUCUCGUCUCCUACACUGACCUCAGGUAUGACCAGCCCCUGCCUCUCCCCAUCCCGGAAGCCCAGGAUCUACCCCACUGGUGCUUUCUUGUCCCUCCCUCAGGACCAUGGAAGAUCUCAGUAGAAGCCCGGGCAUGGAACAGUCCCAGGUGGCAGGAGAAAGGGCAGGUAUCCGCGGUGUCUCCUGAGUCCUCCACUGCUCAGCUCUCAGUAACUCUGUGCCCCCAGCUCCCUGCAUCAAGGGCAGAUGGGCCAUCGGCUGUGCUGGUCUUACCCUCAGGAGCAGGGCACAGCUGGUAUCCCAGGGGUAGGGAGGGGAACUGGCUUUACAUUUCUCCACGGUCCUGUCCACAGGAGCCCUGGUCUGAUGGGGAAGCCAUGACCUUCACUCUAUAGGAGCCCCGGGCUGACACAGAGUCAGGUCUAACCCACAUGGAAACACAUUGGAAUAUGCCCAGUGAGAUGAAGUCAGGAUGUAGGGACAAAUGAAAAUAAGAUUUUGGAUCAGAGCGAGCAGAUCUGGCUCUGUGAUGUGUCAUCACACUCUCAGCAAAGGGUGGGCUGGUCACAGGGAGGACUUUCCUGGGCUUGGAUGGAGGUAUACAUGGUCAGAAAAUAAAUUUGGUCCUGGACAUGAGAGCAUUUUCAGCCCACAGCAGUGGGUACCCAGAGAAGGUACCAAGAGGUAUUACUUAGGAUACAGACUCGGCUGAUGUAACAGAGACCCAAAAUAAGAGUGGCUCAGACAAGACAGAUGUUUAUUUCCCUUUGUGUAACAGUCUAGGCACAAUUUGGGGCCAAAAUGGCAUCCGGGACUCAAGCUUCUUGUAACUAACUUGCUAACCGUGCCAUGCCUAUGGUCGCAUUCUCACCCAUAGGAUCCAAAGUGGCUCACCAUCCCAGAGGCCUCCAGGAUGCAUGAAGUAGGGGGAAGAGGGUCAAGAGGGGCUGCUUCUCAUCUGGAAGUUGCAUAUCUGGCUUUGCUCACUUCCCAUUGUUCAGAACAUUUAGCCACCUGAUGAUCCUUCGCUGCCAGGGAACCUGGAAAAUGUAGUUUUUAAUCCAGGCAGCCAUGCAUCUGAUAAGCACCUCAUUCUGUGAGAGAAAAGGGGAGGUUGUUCCUGGGGAACAACUAGCAGUUCUGCCUCAUGAGACCCCAAGAACACAGUAAGAAAGAAGCUUCUUUUAUUGUAUGUGUCUGUCCUGGACCUCAUUCUCGCAGGGUUGGGCAAGUGAUGGUCUGGGCAAACCACAUUAACACGUCCCUCUGGCCACAGCAAUUGGUCCAGAACUGAGCACAUGACUCCAGAUGAGCCAAUCAGAGUUCUUCCUUGGGACUUUUUCCUAACCAAGUCUGGUGACAAAUGGUGCAGUUUCCUUUCUGAUCAUGACACUAUGAGAAGGUAAUCCUGAACUGACUGUGGUCAUGUUCCCUGCCAAAGCAGGCCUCUGAAGGAGCAGAGAGAAAGGAGUCCAGCAGGGUGAGUGGGCCUCCGUCCAGGCCUCCCUGUGGCCUGCUCCAUCCUUCCCCAGAUUGAACCAGUUAAUCAACACCCCUUUUUCAUCAAACCGAUUAAAGUUGAGUUGCCAUUUGCAACCCAGAGUCUUGACUCACACUGCACUGAAUGUGACUUUUUUUUUUCUGGGGGAAUCGGAGGUGGGAGGGAGGGGACACAGCUGAGAUUGAAAACCUGGAUGAAAAGAAUGUGGGCUCCAGCCAUGCUGCAUCUUUUUCGUGCACAUUUGUCCGGAGGCAUUUUAAAGUUCUCACAUAGCAUCUCACUGUAGAAGCUGUUCGAUUUCUUUGCAGUCAAGGAAGACUGUUUCCUGCAAGGAAGCCCUCCUCCCAGGCCUGCUGUAGCUGGCCCAGUCGUGAGGAGGGGGCCUGAGGAGGGGCCACCUUCACAAAGGGCUCAUUCUCAGCUGGUCCAGGACUCUUAUCAGCCAAACCUAAACUCUGAAUCACCUGCAUCCGUGGGCAGCCUCAUAGGUGGGGGCGGCUUGAUUCCCCUCUGGGCUUCCCUGUGUCAGGACCUGUGAGUGGGGGCGGAUUUUCAAUAAAGGUUCAUUGUUUUCUGUCCCCUCACGCUAUCAAUGUUCUGUCCCAGGCCUUCCUGAGCCCCCCUUCCUCUUCUUUUCACUCACCCCACCCUUGCAUCCAUCCCCAUUCUGCCUAGUGUACCAGCAUAAAGUCCGCAGGGCAGAUGGGAUGGGGGCUGGAGAAGGAAGGCUAGGUGCAUGAACCAUCUCUCUCCAACCAGUCAGAACAAUGGAACCUGAGAAUGUUCUGUCCUGGGCUUCCAAACCUGUGACUCCCCCACUCCCCUGGAGCCUCCCAAGACCCCCUCUACAGGACACAGCUGCAACCAAGCUGCCCUGGGCCUCUGGUGUCACCUAGCGGCCAGCCUUGGAACUGCCCAGCUCCCAACCUUUUGUUUCUUUUGCAGUUGGAUUGGGCUGAUGGGAUCACGGAGUACCAUAAUGUCCCUUUUCUCUCUCUUUUUGUUCUUUGUUUUUUACCACAAUCAGUUCAGUUGGGCUCAGUCUUCCUCCAGCCAUCUUUUUUUUCCCUUUCUUUUUCAGGGACACCCACGGUAUGUGGAAGUUCUCAGGCCAGGGAUGGAAUCUGAGCCGAAGCUGCAACCUACAUGGCAGCUGUGGCAAUGCUAGAUCUUUAACCCACUGUGCCCCGCCAGAGAUCAAAACAGCACUGCAACAGAGACAAGCCAGAUCAUUAACCCACUGUGCCACAGGGGAACUCCCUCCUCAAGCCAUCUUUAAAAUCUAAAUGACACCCUUGAAUCUCCUUUCACCUCCUUUAAAACAACCCUACCCUGGUUACCUCCAGAGUUCCUUUCCUUAGUUUAUUCUUUUUUUUUUUUUUUCGUCUUUUUGCCUUUUCUAGGGCCGCUCCCACGGCAUAUGGAGGUUCCCAGGCUAGGGAUCUAAUCGGAGCUGUAGCCACCAGCCUAUGCCAGUGCCACAGCAACAUGGGAUCCGAGCCAAGUCUGCAACGCUGGGUCCCCAACCCACUGAGCAAGGCCAGGGAUCGAACCCGAAACCUCAUGGUUCCUAGUUGGAUUCAUUAACCACUGCGCUAUGACGGGAACUCCUCCUUAGUUUAUUCUUUCAACCCAAAUAAUCCUGGCUAACUGAGUAUCAGGGUGCAGCCAGGACUGCCCCUGUGCCAAGAAAAAGGCAGACUGAACGUCAGAAAGAUUCAUUAGAAUAUUGAAGAACAAAAGCUUUCAGCCUCUGAAGCCCUUGAAAGCACCUGGAAGUUUCCUUUAGAUCAUCCCCCUGCCAUCUCUUCACACUCCUGUUAAGAAACCUGCUUUCCCUUAAGCACCAGCUUUCAAGAAAAAAUGAACAGACUUUCCUGGAUCUGUGUUUUUUUGUUUUUGUUUUUUUUUCCAUUUCAACCUACAGGUCUUGCAACAUUAGGGUUUUCUUUUUUCCCCACGUGGGUGUGUAGCAGCCCAGCUUUGUGAUGCGUUAAACGAGCAUUUGUGGCUCAACCUGGAAAACUGAGCCCCAUUCAUAACCCUGAGUCCUUGAUUUUCUAUUGGCUUAUUGUCUGGAACCCCAAUCCACUUCCCAGAAACCAAGGUUUGCAAUAUCACUCAUUGGUAAGCUGGGACUGCCUGAUUGUAGACAUUUAAGGUAAGGAGAAGCUUUCCGGGGAGAGAUGGUGGCUGCUUGGUGUCAUUUUAAACAGGAUGAUGUGUAAGAGCUUUCUCGUUUCCCCAGAAAUGGAAAAGUCUUGAGGCUUGCAGGAUGGGCUGGACCAGCAUGCUAAGGUUGGGGGGAAGGGGUGUGGUGAUGCUUUAGACCCAAGGACCAGGCAGAGAGGAUACAACAAGGGCUGGGCUGAGUGGAGGGGCCUGGGGACAAGUCUUAGAACUGGAGAGAAAGAUCCAACUAACAUUUAUUAAGAACCUUCCAUGCGUCAGGAAGGGCCCAGUGGGGAAGCGAGUGGGUCCCCCAGGCCAGCUAAUCAUUUUAUGUCCCAUCGAACUAUCAGCGCAUCUUUAUCUUUUAAAUUUAUUCAUUUAGUUAGUUAGUUAGUUAGUUAUGUCUUUUUCAGGCCACACCAGCAGCAUGUGGAGGUUCCCAGGCUAGGAGUCGAAUCAGAGGUGUAGCUGCCAGCCUACACCACAGCAACUGGGGAUCCGAGCUGCAUCCGUAACCUAAACCAUAGCUCACGGCAACGCCAGAUCCUUAACCCAAUGAGCGAGUCCAGGGAUCGAACCUGCGUCCUCAUAGAUACAAGUCAGAUUCGUUUCUGCUGAACCAUGAUGGAAACUCUUAUCAGUUCAUGUUUAAUGUAGUGGAACUGGUCUCUGCUUGGGGAAAGGGGGGGGCGUGUGUGGUGGGCAGGGGACAGCAUCCCUCAUCCCUCCGGGCAACACUCCAUCUCCUCUGAGCAAUUCAGCUCUGACCCCAAACUCACAUGCUGCAAUUAGACAGACAAAAACUCUGUAGAGACCUUGCUCCACCCUCCUUAGGGAACAGCUUAGAGACCAACUAUUGUUAUGCCGGCCUGUUCUUUUGGGGUCCUCCCACCCGUAAGCCACCCUGUUGCAAGUAAUUUAUUAAAGCAGAACAUCCGACUGCCCUUAAAAGAGUUCCAGACGUGAUUUUCUUCGUCUCCUUCUCCUUAUAUUUCCAGUGAUGUCUGCGUGCUUUGUAAAGAGUGCCCUUCAGCCAGCUGCCCGGCUGGUCACCCCUUCAACCAGCUUUGGUACCAAGCACUGAAAGUGUUUUCACCCUGCCAUGUAAGUAGCAUGAUCUCCAUUCUCCCUGGUAAAGCUGAGGCCGAGGGCAGUGAGGCGAGCGGCCCAAGAGGCCCACAGCAGAUGAGUAAAUCCCACCUUUGAGCUGAGAUCUGAAGUCAGGUUUAUGCAUCUUAUUGCAAAGCCCAGAUCUUCUUCAGUUCCUCGCCCUCCCCCAGGAGAAAAUGGAAAGGAAAAGCCGUUGAGAGCAGGAGGGUGAUUCCUACGAGGAGGUACAGGAGGUGGAGGUUUGAAGCGGGAGCUGCAAUAAGCAGAGUCAGAGACCUGGUGGGUUGGCUAGGAGGCUGGGUGCCAACAGUACUGCCACAUGGCCCAGGUUGGAUGAGGGGAAUAGGGUGGUGCCCGCUUGGGCUCCUGGAUGUGGGAGGGUAAAGCCGCCUGGUCCUGAAGAGGGGGGCUGUGUGUGUGAUGCUGGGGCUCCCUCCUCUAUAUGCAGCCACACCAGCAGUGCCCGUGGAAAGGGUGGCUGUGCCUGGAGUCUGGCAGAAAGGCUGGGGCCCAAGAGGAGUCCUUGCAGGAGAAAUCUCUCCUUCUGCCCUAGAUUGGAGGCUGCAGAAAGUCAUUUGGACCAAGUGGGGGCAGGAUGCCGAGGGCAGAGGAGCUGGCUCCCGUUGGUCCCCUUUCUUUCCUCAUCUCCCUUCCCUCUGAACCCCAGUCCAGGGCCCAGGAGGGCUUGGCAGCCUGUUCCUGGCCUCCCCAGCAGAGGGCUCCAGAGCAGAGCUCAGGAUGGCCAUGGGGAGGGAGCGGCAGAAAGCACUGGACAGUCCGCCCUGCUCACAGGUGUCCAGGUCACAGGUGCUCUUUACUGGUGCACAGGUGUGUCUGUCUAUGUGUGCACCCAUGUGGGUGUGUGCAAGUGUGUACAGUAGACGUAUGUUGUUGUGUGGGCAUGUCAGUGUCGGCACGCGGGCACGACUGCCUGCCUGUGUGUUGGGUGGUAUCUAUUCACAUGUGUUUGCUCAUUUUCUCUUUGCACACGCCAGCACUACUGUGGUCCUUGUGCAUAGUUGUGUGCAUGCGGGUGUCUGUAUGCUUUGUGCAUGGGUGUCUCUGGUUGGCCUUGUGCAGAGAAAGCCGAAAAAUUACUGACAAGGUGUGCUGUGGAAUCUCAUCAUUCUCGAGGACAAGGAUGAGGGACCCCCUGCUCCUUCUGUGCCAUCUGACAUUCACACCCUGACCCAGCCGCCUGACUCCUGCCCUCAAUCAACACAGCCCCUGAAUUUGUUUGUUAAAACCUCAUUUACAGCAGGUGUAGUUGACAUCCAGUUCCCAGGAAGCAAGUACUUCCAGAACUGUGUGUGUGUGUGUUCUGGUUCCCUCAUUUGCAGCUCGAAAAUGUUUCUUUUCCAGCAUUUCCAUUGCGGCUCAGAGAGUUAAGAACCCAACUAGUAUCCAUGAAGAUGUGAGUUCGAUCCCUGCCCUUGCUCAUUGGGUUAAGGAUCCGGUGUUGCUACAAGCUGCAGCAUAGAUCACAGAGGAAGCUCGGAUCUGGCUUUGCUGUGACCGUGCUAUAGGCCAGCAGCUGCAGCUCCCAUUCAGCCCCUAGCCUGGGAACCUCCGUAUGGUGCAGGUGCGGUCCUGAAAAGCAGAAACAGAAAAUGCUCUUCUUCUUGUUGGGAAUGAGGAGCAGAGCCCCAGAGAAUGCGGGGAAGGUAGAGGGCUGCAGUGGAGAAACAGCAGGCUGGUGGCUGGUUCAUCCACAGCUGAAGGGAGGCAGCGGCCAUGGGGGCAAGGUCUUGGCCCAGAAGUCUGGGGGGCCCUGGACGGGGCCCAGCUCUGCUACCAGCUGGAGGCCCUGGCUGAUGGGAAGCAGCCUCUCCUGUGGUGGUCUGUGCUGCUGUUCAGCCAGGGCCAUUGGGGAGAACAAAUGGGGUACUCCCCUCACCCUGUGUCGUGUGGAAAAGGCACUUGUCGAAGGGAGUGCGGUCGAGGAUGGCGCCCACCUCAGGAUGGGAGGCUGUAUUGGUUUCCUGUCGCUCCUGUGACAGCUCACCACGAACUUAGUGGUUUAAAAUAAUCCGCAUUUAUUUUACAGUCCUGGGGACCACAAGUCCAAAAUCAGCCUCACCAAGCUAAAGUCAAGGGAUUGGCAGUGCUGUGUGCCUUUUGGAGGCUCUAGGGGAAAUGGGUCUCCUUGCCUUUUCCAGAUUCUAGAAGCUGCCUGCAUCCCUUGGCUUGGGGCCCCUUCCUCCUUCGUGCUGUCACAUCGCCUUUCUAUUGCUUUGGCCUCUUGCCUCCCUCUGGGAAGGACCCUGGUGAUUACCCUGGACCCUCCCAGAUAAUCCAGGACAGUCUCCUCAUCUCAAGCUCCUUGACAUGAUCACAUCUGCCAAGUCCUUUUGGCUGUGAGGUUAACAUUUGUUCACAGGUUCUGGGGAGUAGAUAUGUGGGCCUCUUUUGGGGCCACUGUUUUGUCUACUACCUAGAGAAAUCACAGACAAGCUGGCCAAAGUGGGUAACAGUCUUUUUAAAUUUUUUAUUGGAAUAUGGCUGACUUACAAAAUUGUGUUAAUUUCAGGUGUACGACAAAGUAAAUUAAUUACACAUAUACAUAUAUCAGUUCCUUUUGACAUUCCUUUUUUUUUCUCUUCUUUUUUAGGACAGCCCCUGGGGCAUAUGGACGUGCCCAGGUUACUGGUUGAAUCAGAGCUAUAGCUGCUGGCCUACACCAUAACCAUAGAAACGUGGGAUCCGAGCUGCCUCUGUGGCAUACACCGCAGCUUGUGGCCAUGCAGGAUCCUUAACCUGCUGAGCAAGGCGCAGGGAUGGAACCUGUGUCCUCAUGGAUACUAUUUGGGCUCUUAACCCUCUGUGCCACAACGGGAACUCCCCCUUUGGAUAUUCUUGAUCCUCCUGCGGUUUCACUGAGGCACCAGUGGGACCCUCACUCCUGCCGAGGAGCCAUCUGGUCCUGACGUCUCGUCUGGCGGAUUGAGCCCCAGGAACCAGGGUGCGCUGGCUGCCUAAAGGGCCUUUCCUUUCUGCCUGCCUUCCCGGCAGCCCCUGGCCAGGCACCAGCUAUGACCUCAGCCCACACUGACCCUUCGGUUCCCCCCUCACCCCCUCCCAGCCUGCUCCAGAUCCAGCCUCCGGCCCUGUCCAUGCUCCCAGAACACCCCGCGUGACUCGGUUCCUGUUCUGUCACAGCCCCUACUCCCUGCCCCAGAGGCACCUUGGGCUCCAGGCUGCCCAUCCGCCACCCAGCCCUCUCCACACGUGUGAAAACCACACGCAUGGGCGCUCUGCAGCUCCCCGCAGGAAAGCCCAGCCGCAAGACCCAGAGCAGAGGAGAGGGGACACACACAAGCGUGCAGGCCAGUGCCAGGGUUUGGGGAUGGGGGGCGGGGAUCCAAUGGAACAACGGGCCUCCCGGAUGCUGUAUCAAGCCAAACUCCCCAGCAGAGUCAGCACCACAUCUGGAAUUAAGCUGGAAAUUCCAAUUGCUCUCUGCUGCUAAAAAAAAAAUGUGUCAAAUCUUCCCAGAGAUUUUGUGGAAGUGGGAAGCGCUGCGGGGCGGUGGAGGGGAGGGGGGAGCGCUCCCUCCACAGGACCCGUGAGCUUUGGGGAAAUCCAGAUGUCACAAUGUGUCCACAGCCCUCUGGCUGAUGGCUCCCCCAGCCUCCCUCAUCUGUGCUCCCUGCCCCGUGAAAAUUAAAGACGCCUGGAGCAGGGGAGGGGCUGUUUCGCUUCUCCCAAGGACCCACACGUCCGUUCAUGUAAGCGCAUGUGAGACUGUGACUUUUUUUGAUAGGGAUUGAGUUAUUUUUUCCUGGAGAGGAAAACGUUGACAUGCCUUUGGUGGAUCGUCCGCCCAGAAAUUUCCAAUGCAUGAAGAAGCUGUGCUCUUCCCUUUGCUCUAACACACACACACACACACACACACACACACACGCACACACCUUCCAAAGGCCCAGAACUCACUGUGUGGUCUGAGCCCCUUCAGGGCCUCGCUGCACUGCUAGCCCAGCCCCAACCAGUGCGGGAUGGGGAUUCCAUAGAGCUGGGUCUGCAGGGCCAGGGAAGCUUGGACCACUUGCUCGUUCUCAAUCUCUAGGCAAGUGGAUGAAUUUCCUGUUACUGCUGUAACAAAUCACCACAAGCUGAGUGACUUCAACAACACAAAUAUAUUCUCUUACAAUUCUGGAAGUCGGAAGUCCAAAAUCAGCCUCGCUGGGCUAACGUCAAAGCAUCUCCAGGGGAAAAUCCAUUUCCUUAUCUUUUUUCACAUCUAGAGGCUACCUCUAUUCCUUGGCUUAUGGCCCCUCCCUUCUAUAGCAAGCAUCCCUCUCGGGUCCUUACCCAGAGCAUCAGAGGGUCUGUCUCCCCAGGCCUCUUCCCGUUCUGAUACUAACAUCCUAGGUCUCUGGGACCUUGGGGGAAAUGGGCCCGGCCCCUCCCCACUCUCCUCUUUGCUGAAUCUCUGGGGCUCGUAUUGUCUCUUUUUGUCCUCUUCCUCCAGCCCAGGAGUCUGACAUCCCAGGCUGGGGCUUUUGCCCCUCAGUUUCAUUCUCAACAAGUGAAGAAUUCAUCCCAGCCCCAACUUAGUUUAGGAUCUGAAUUAUACUUUUCUCCAAGGCAGGGCUCUCGACUGCCCAGCUGUCAUGCGGGGGCCAAGGAUCCUGAUCCCGAUUCAAGGAUGUUGGGUGGGUAUCCAAGACGUCCAAAUGGAGGGGCAGGGAUGCGGGUACCCUUCCUGGCAGUGGUCCUUACCAGCCUGACCUCCCAGAGCUCAGGCCACCCGGUCACAGCGUGACAUUGAAAGUCCCUCGCCAGGGAGAGAGGGAUGAGGCUGACCCAGCCUGGGUAGUCCCAUGGGACCCAAUAGUACAGACUGGUGUCCUUGGUGGCCUCCCGAGUAAAGAGCCUCUUUGAGCCAGACCUUCCUUCUUCCUUUUCUUUCUUCCUUUCCCUCCCUUCCUUUUUGUCUGACCCAGUGCCUGGUCCUUUGUCAGGCACAGGAUAAGAGCUGGAAGGGCUCGGUCCCCCAGCCUGUGAGAAGCACUGCCCACAGCCCCUCCCAAGCAGUGAGAGUUCCCAAGUGUGGAAGCCAAAUGGGGCUGCCCGAGGUGCCAGGAGGGCUUCCUGGGGCUGGUGGUGCUGCAUUUUCCACCCUCAAACACACUAAAACACUGAGCCACCCGCACACGCCAUGUGAGGGGAGGCAGCCACGCUUCGGCUCGUGCUCUUCCCACUGCUCGACAUCUUUCCACUUGCCUCUCCUGGAUAGCUCUGGCUCAGGUGCCACCUCUUCCAGGAAGCCUUCCCUGAAGUCUGGGGAGGUUGAAUCUCCUCCUUGAUUCUCCUAGCGCCCCACAGAGAGGCUCCUCGUGUCCAAGCCAGAAACUGAUUUUAUGCUGCAGUCAAGAGAAAGCCUUGGCCUUGGAGGGGCCUAGAGUGGAGGGGGACAGUGUCUGGUGAAAUGGCACUGGGCUCUGCUGAGCCUGCUUUUUUUUGAGCCGAUGGGCCCUUACAGAUCCCCCAGUCCAUCCUCCUUUCCGGAUAGUGGUGCUGGGACCAGAAAACCCUUCUCCUGGUUUUAGCCCUCUGUCCUUCCCAUGACCCAUCCCAUCUUGAUGGGGGCUGUGUCCUGACCACCUCAGUGUCCGUGAGUGCUUGGUGAACCAACAUGCGGGGGUGCUUAUGGGGGAACUGAACCCGCCAGAGACAAGUGUUUCGGAGGCACAUGGCAUUGAUGUCACCAUUUGGUCACAUGCUGUCCUAACUCUCAAAGUGGAGCCUAGGUUUCAUAUUAUCCCUUUAUGGCAGAGAUGCUAAGAGAAAGAUGGGUCUGAGUUCCAGCUCGGCCUCUUCUGAGCUGUGUGACCUCUUUGAGAAACAUCUGGAUCCGAGAUCCAGCUUGGCCUCUUCUGAGCUAUGUGACCUCUUUGAGCUCCCACAUCCUCAUCAGCAAAACGGGGACCCGCGCUGGACAGACCUUUGUUUUGAUGAUUAAAUAAGAUGACAUAUGCCAAGUUCCCAUUGUGGCACAGCGGAAAUGAAGCUGACUAGUGACCAUGGGGUUGCAGGUUUGAUCCCUGGCCUUGCUCUGUGGGUUGAGGAUCUGGCGUUGCCGUGAGCUUUGAUGUAGGUUGCAGACGCGGCUAGGAGCCAGUGUGGCUGUGGCUAUGGUGUAGGCCUGCAGCUGUAGCUCUGAUUCGACUCCUAGCCUUGGAACUUCAUGUGCCAAGGGUAUGGCUGGCCCUAAAAAGCAGUAAAUAAAUAAAUAAGAUAACGUAUGAGAAGUCAGCAAUUCUCUGGCACAUAGAUAUGCAUCCGAAUAGUGGCUAAAUAUUCUCCUUCUUCACAAUUUCAUUCUAGGGGCUCAACCUUCUGGAAUCAGGAAAAUUGUCUGAUUAAGUGGAUUCAUGCUGAUUCCAGCCUCAGCUCUAUGCAAAGGGAUUCUGAUUCCCUAAGUCUGGGAAGAGUUCCCAAACUCAUUAUUUUAUUUGUCUUUAUUUUUAAAUAAACAUCCUGGGUGAUCCUGAUGCUUAGCCAGGUUUGGAAGCCACUGGAAUAAGUGAUGAUGGGGUUUUAUGUUCAUAAAGACCAACUUGUGUCCUCAAAAGUAGGGUUUUAGCUUAGAGGUACCUUCCCACGGCCCCUGGAACCACAGCAGGUGGGACCCUCUCUCUCCCCAUGGGGGGAGGGGGUGACAUCCCUCUAGAGCAGCCCGGCAGGAAGGGAUGGGGGCCGCGCCAGCUGUGUCCCCUCCUGCAGCUGUUUCAGUGCCAUAGCCCCGUGGAAACCACUGUGAAAUUCAUUCUCCACAUCUCCCGAAGUUGGGCCAGGUGGCUACUGGCUGGGGCAGCUGAUCCCACCCGACAAGAGGCCUGCGAGCCAGGGAAAUACAGCCACCCGCCUCCACUCAGCACAGGGCCCCCCGUUCCACCCUCCCGGGCCAGUAAGUGCUUUUUGUCCCAGAUCAACUCAAAUCCUCCCCCGGGAAAACUUUUCUUUCCUCAGGAAGCACCCAGCUCUUGCCUUGCUGCAGGUUCUCUCAGGGCUGUCUGGCUCUGGAACCUGGUCAGGACUGGAUCCCGCCUCCCAGGGACCCCUGAGGCCUGGGGCUGAGUUGGCUGCUCUGGGAAAAUGCAAGCGGAGGAGGCGGGAAGCUGCAGAUUCCACUCAUCCGCCCGAGAAUGGCAGCGGGCCGGAGCUCUCCCUGCAGCAGGGAGCUGAGCUUUUUAUGAGCUGCACGGAGCUACAGAAGCAGGGAUUUGGCUGAGGAAGAAGGGAAAGGCCCAGAAUGAGAGCACUGUCCUCCGUCAAGGACACAGGACUGUUGACGUGGGAGAGAUGGGCGCAGCCUCUGGAUCAAGUCCACGGGGAGGAGGAAAUGGUUUUCACUGAAAAACAAAGUUGAAAAACAGUUUACUGAAGGGACAAGAAGGAGGAAAGGGGGUGGGGAACCACCUCAAACUGUCUGAUCAUCAAAAUCACCUAGUCAGUUAAAAAUACAGAUUCCAGUCCUCGUUCCAAGUCAAUAAAAUAUUAUUCUUGGUAGCUCUGGCUUUUUUUUUUUUUUUUCCUUGUGGUUUAAAAGUGUAGAUCCCUUGUCAAUUGUAUCUCAGUAAAACUAAGGGGAAAAUUAAGAUAUAUGUAAAAUCAGCGGAAGAAUGAAAGUCAGUUGCACAAAAAGAAAAAUUGCUUAGAAGACAGCGA
rnacentral:lncRNA from 1 species